rnacentral:rRNA from 1 species
UACAGAGGGUGCGAGCGUUGUCCGGAAUCACUGGGCGUAAAGGGCGCGUAGGCGGCCUGAUAAGUCGGGGGUGAAAUCCUGUGGCUCAACCACAGGGCUGCCUCCGGGACUGUCGGGCUCGAGCACAGUAGAGGCAGGUGGAAUUCCCGGUGUAGCGGUGGAAUGCGUAGAGAUCGGGAAGAACAUCGGUGGCGAAGGCGGCCUGCUGGGCUGUUGCUGACGCUGAGGCGCGGCAGCGUGGGGAGCAAACAGG